AUAGGAAUAAAUCUUUCUUGUAAUGUGUUGCAACUCUACUAUACAGGAUUUAUUCCCUUUU
rnacentral:antisense_RNA from 1 species